rnacentral:rRNA from 1 species
CCCUUAGAUGUUCUGGGCCGCACGCGCGCUACACUGAUGCAUUCAACAAGCCUAGCCUUGACCGAGAGGUCCGGGUAAUCUUUGAAACUGCAUCGUGAUGGGGCUAGAUUAUUGCAAUUAUUAAUCUUCAACGAGGAAUGCCUAGUAAGCGUGAUUCAUCAAAUCGCGUUGAUUACGUCCCUGCCCUUUGUACACACCGCCCGUCGCUCCUACCGAUGGGUGAUCCGGUGAAUGAUUCGGACUUCAGCGGCUCCCCUGGGGUGCGCCGGAGAAAGUUUUGUGAACCUUAUCACUUGGAGGAAGGAGAAGUCGUAACA